rnacentral:rRNA from 1 species
UCACACCCACAACCGCCAGGGAAUUACGAGCCAUCUUAAAACCCAAAGGACUUGACGGUGUCCCACCCACCUAGAGGAGCCUGUUCUAUAAUCGACACCCCCCGCUAUACCUUACCACUUCUCGCCUUUCAGUCUGUAUACCUCCGUCAAAGCUUACCGUGUGAACGCCCACAGUGGGCUAAAAGAUCUCCGUCAACACGACAGGUCAAGGUGCAACUUACGAAGUGGAAAGUAAUGGGCUACAAUUUCUACAAUAGAACACACGAAAAACUACAUGCAACACAGUCAUUGAAGGUGGAUUUAGUAGUAAAAAGAAAAUAGAGAGUUCUUUUAAAUUAGGCGCUGGGACGCGCACACACCGCCCGUCACCCUCUUCAAGUGCUCAAACAUUAGAAGAGGCAAGUCGUAACAUGGUAAGUGUACUGGAAAGUGCACUUGGACAACAAAAUGUAGCUUACUCAAAGCACCCCGCUUACACCGGAGAGACGUCACUAAACAGACCAUUUUGUGCCCGAACCUCCGCCCACACCCCCCCCCCCCCCCAACACACAAUAAAAUAAAACAUUUUCCUCAUUAAGUAAAGGCGAUAAAAAAUG